rnacentral:rRNA from 1 species
CCGUAAACGAUGUCGACUUGGAGGUUGUGCCCUUGAGGCGUGGCUUCCGGAGCUAACGCGUUAAGUCGACCGCCUGGGGAGUACGGCCGCAAGGUUAAAACUCAAAUGAAUUGACGGGGGCCCGCACAAGCGGUGGAGCAUGUGGUUUAAUUCGAUGCAACGCGAAGAACCUUACCUACUCUUGACAUCCAGAGAACUUUCCAGAGAUGGAUUGGUGCCUUCGGGAACUCUGAGACAGGUGCUGCAUGGCUGUCGUCAGCUCGUGUUGUGAAAUGUUGGGUUAAGUCCCGCAACGAGCGCAACGCUUAUCCUUUGUUGCCAGCGGUCCGGCCGGGAACUCAAAGGAGACUGCCAGUGAUAAACUGGAGGAAGGUGGGGAUGACGUCAAGUCAUCAUGGCCCUUACGAGUAGGGCUACACACGUGCUACAAUGGCGCAUACAAAGAGAAGCGAACUCGCGAGAGCAAGCGGACCUCAUAAAGUGCGUCGUAGUCCCGGAUUGGAGUCUGCAACUCGACUCCAUGAAGUCGGAAUCGCUAGUAAUCGUAGAUCAGAAUGCUACGGUGAAUACGUUCCCGGGCCUUGUACACACCGCCCGUCACACCAUGGAGUGGGUUGCAAA